rnacentral:rRNA from 1 species
GGGGGAUAACGUAGAGAAAUUUACGCUAAUACCGCAUACGAUCUAAGGAUGAAAGCGGGGGAUCGCAAGACCUCGCGCGAUUGUAGCGGCUGAUAUCAUAUUAAGUUGUUGGUGAGGUAAAUGCUCACCAGGGCGACGAUCUGUAGCUGGUUUGAGAGAACGACCACCCACACUGGUACUGAUACACGGUCCAUACUCCUACCGAAGGCACCAGUGGGAAAUUUUGAACGAUGGGCGAAAGCCUGAUCCAUCAAUGCCGCGUGCAGGAAGAAGGCCUUCGGGUUGUAAACUGCUUUUGUACGGAACGAAAAGGUCUGCCCUAAUACGGUGGGCUCAUGACGAUACCGUAAGAAUAACCACCUGCUAACUACUUGCCACCAGCCGCGGUAAUACGUAGGGUGCGAGCGUUAAUCGGAAUUACUGGGCGUAAAGCGUGCGCAGGCGGUUAUAUAAGACAGUUGUGAAAUCCCCGGGCUCAACCUGGGAAUUGCAUCUGUGACUGUAUAGCUAGAGUACGGUAGAGGGGGAUGGAAUUCCGCGUGUAUCAGUGAAAUGCGUAGAUAUGCGGAGGAACAC